CCCUUGAAUGAUUAGUAUACAGUGGGAGUGGCAAAUUGAAAUGGAAUAAAAAUAUUAUUAAAUAGUAUUAGAGCCAACGUAAAAUGUUUUUCAAUUUUUCUAUUAUUAAUCAUAACAAACGAAGCAAUUAUAUUUCUUAUUUUCAAAUAGAUAUACUUGAUUAUCUGCACGACUGGCGGCCGAUACGAUCGAACAAACAAUAUGUUGCAUACAAGGAGCUAUAUAAUUAUUCGAAAAAAUUAUUUCAUUAAUUGUAUUACCCAUUGUUGACCAUUCCAUUCCCUCGUCCGUUCCUAAAAAUAUAAAAACGUUAUUAUAAUAAAAUUAUUUUUAAUCAUUGUUAUAUAUGAUAAAAAAAAAAAGAUGUAUGAUCAACCAACGAUAAUGCGAUUGCGAUGACGACGUAAUUGGUUUUGAAAAUAGUGGUGCAACUAAAGAAGAAAUUCCUGUCACUAAUCCAGCGAUUGUUAAUGCUUUUGUAUUAACAUUGAGAAGCGUUGGCGAAUGUUCGUUCUCUUCAUUUUUAUAUAAUAAUGGAAUAGAAAUAAAAGCCAACUUACAUCGAUAUUUCCUUCUUCGGAAUCGAACGAAAUAAAUCGUGGUUUCGAAUGACCAUAAAAUGGAUUUUUCAUUUUGGAAGUUUUUCCUUUAUCGAAUCCAGUAGAUAUAUAAUCGGCUGUUGUUAAUUGUAUAAUAAGAAACACAAGUAAGAAGAUCACGUUCAUUUUUGAAAAACUUUCGUAUAUCGUAUGUUCCUAAUAAAAAUACAUAGAUUAAUUAAAGAAAAACAUUUUGAUUAUAUUGUUAAAUAAAUUUCCAUGAGAUAAUGAUAAUAGAAUAUUUUCACUUUCAAAGAAUUAUUAUUAGAAUAGAUACGGAUAAACUAUCUAUAAUCACAUACAAUAAUCACAUUCACUUCACGUUUAUAAACAUAUUUAAAAAAAAAUGUAUUACAACGAAGGAAAGGAAAAAAAACAAAACAAAAAAAAAAAAAAAAAAAAGAGAAAAAACAAGGAAAUAACGAAGAAAAGAUAAAUUAAUUGUAAAUCGUUGACAUUUUUAACGAAUAUUAUAAUAAUAAAUGUGUAUUCUUAGCUUACUUUUAUCAAACACGAUGGCAUUGAUGGACAGUUUUCUACAAAGUCGAGUUCUAGCUAGCUAGCAGACUAUGUAUAAUGCCUAGCCCACCCCUUCGACGAACAGGAAAUUCCUUUUCUCGAAUAGAAUUAACGAGCCUAAAGGAAGAACGAUAGACUAAAUUGUACCAGGGAAAUGGACAUUAGCAAUUAUUAUAUCUUAUUAUUUAUCACUUAAAAUUAUACGUUACUUAUAAAAAGAAAAAAAAAAUUUAUAUGUGGAUAAAUACAUUUCUCUCCGCUAAUUAUCAUUUUUAUUUUAAAUAGAGUAAACCUAUGUACUUAUAUUGAAAUUAUUAACAAUUGCUAUACUAUUGUUUUCACUUGGAUAGAAAGAAAAAUAAAAAGGUCUCCUUACGUGAAAGAGACGAAUUGUCCAAUUACGCACGUACACUGCACAUGUCGUGCCUUUCGCGUAACUUUCGCAAAUUUUCCUAAGCAACGUCCAGAACGAAUUCCAUUCUGCAAAGACAAAUGUACAUACAUAGAAUCUAUGAAAUGUUUACGCUCAUUUCUUUUCACUGUCGUUAUUAUUGCUCCAAAGUAUGUACAUCCACUUUCUCGCUUUAGAAUUGUUUACCUUGAAACGAUAUCUAAAAUCAAGACCUAUCAACGAUAAU